rfam:Aedes albopictus isolate Foshan contig40074, whole genome shotgun sequence.
CUCCCAGCUACUCCUAUCCCUACCUCCGCGUGGCACCGGCCAGGCUGCGAGCAACCUUAGGGAAGAUCGGGUAACCAACCCCGAUGGGAACGUUGGUCAUAGGCUGACAGGGAAGG